rnacentral:lncRNA from 1 species
GAAGGAAAAGUUCGAUAAUCAUUUGCCAUUAAUAAAGUAAGGACAGAGACAGCACAAAACCCUAAAACCAAGUCAUUGCUUAUGGUAUAGGACUUCUUGAUGCUAUAUUUGUUCAGUUUUGGCAGGGAUGUCAUAAAGAAAAUAGUUACUUUAUUUUCAUCAUAGACGGUUCAGAGAAACUAGGAGGAACAGCAAAUGAAAUGGAUGCCACAAGCAAGCGGAUGUGGAUGACUUUCCUUGGUAGGAACUGUAACGGGCACUUCCGAGUUCCAACUCAAGUUUCCUUGUAUGCUAAUACAAGUAUAGAACUAAAUGAACCACCAGAAUAGCUUUCCUAACGAAACAAACAACGGGCAGCCUACUCGUUCGUUGUUUUCUCUGAUUUCAUUCCAG